rnacentral:lncRNA from 1 species
GGUCAUCUAAUCAUGCGUGGGGGCAGCCCUGUUAUGUCCUGAAUUCAAAAGUCAGAGAAGAUCUGCAUUUCUACCCUACUGCCACCUAAUAUCAU